GGGUUGGCAGUGGAGGCAAGGGUAUCUUGUUGGAGAUUUCUGCAUACCUGAGGCCUUCUAAAGGUGGUGAUCUCUCAUAGUUUUCACAAGUUGACACACAAUAUAUUGCUGUGCAGAUGGGACAAAUAAUCAUGAAGUCCCUUUCAUGAUUCUCCAAAUGAAGGGUAUAGAUAUACAGCUAAAAUCUACUCAUCCAUUUUCAGUUGCCUAGCAAUGGCACAACUGCAAAGGAAAGAAUGGUAUGUUGUGUGUGAUACAUUUUUUUAUUGUUAUCAAUAAUCUUGUGUCCACACAGUUCUCCUUCAUGAUGAUCUUGCCUGCCAUCCCAAAUAACUGAUUUUAUUUCCUUGACUUGUCAAACCCAGACUACUUAGUAUGAAGUGAGAUUUUUAACUAAGGAGGGAAUGCAAGGCUUUCCCAUUACAAAAUCAAUUUUAAUUUAGUUUCAAUAUCAAAGUUUGCUUUGAAUAUAUGCUCCUUGAAUUCAGCUAUGUUAAUAGCAAUGCUUAGGUCAGACUAUCUGAAUCAAUUUUAUAAAAAUUCAAGACUAAGCACAACUUUUAUGUUUUUGGCUCAGUCUUGUUUUAGUGUCAUUAACUGAAAAUUGGUUCACUUCCUUUACCAGCUUAUCUAGCUAUAGAUUGUAAGUAAAGAAUGAAGCCAGCCUUAUGUGCACCCUCAGGAGAGAACAGUUCCAAGCAGUUACCUGUGACAGCAGAAAAGAAAUAUGGCCCUAAGUAUUCCUAAGACUCAGCAGUUUCUACACAGCGAGGUCUGCCUCCUGUUGCCCCCUUCUAUCCUACACAUAAUUCUUAUUAAUGUCCUCAUAUUGCACAUUUUAAAUCAUCAUAUAUUUAUGAAGCAGGAGAAAAAGCAAACAAGUAUGGAGCUGUCCCUUUAAAGAAAGCACAACAGACCAGAUCAACGUGGCUUUUAUAUGAUUUUCCAACGUAUUUUCUUUCUUUAGAAGCAAUCAUGGUGCUGAGUUAAGGUAACGAAACAAACAAUAAGAACAACUGCAAACUGAAACAACAACAACGCUGCUCUUUUUUUUUUUUUUUUUUUUCCCCCCACAAAACUAAAGCAUUCUUGGCUAUAGCAUCCCUCUUCCAAAUGACUGUCUACAAAAACUAUUGAAGUAGGUUGGAUUUACAUCCUACAGCUCCAUGUAAAUUUAGUGUGCUUUUUCUCUUCUUGUUUUUUUUUUUUUUCUCCCUUAGCUUUAACUCAGAGAAACUCUCUAGCCUUCACUAGAUCAAUCUGAAAUCUCUGUCCUGCCUUCUGACAACAAGAUUUCUAAUCUGACUCUCACUGUAUACAUAUAUUCUUAUAUAUAUAUUCUUUUCCCUCUGGGAAUUUUCCUACUCAAAAAAGUACUGAGAAUGGCACUUCCACAUUGAAUUUAUCAUAAUAUCCUUAUAAGAUUUGGAGGGAGGCAUGUGCUGGGCACUGGUUUUUCCAGCUUUUGAGUUUCAAGUUCUGCACAGUGUUUGGCAAAACAAAUUGUGGUUCAGUACAGAAUGAAUGCUUCACUGAUGUUGUACUUUUCCAUUUCCCCUGUGGAAUGGUGGAAAUGAUGAUUUGAUCCUUCUUUUCUCAUAGAAAAUGGCAUCUUUCCUCUCCAAUUUUUCUAGUAGCUAGAAAUCUGAAGAACUGUUCUUUCUCUUCUCAGAAGUAUUGCACUCUUUUAGAACUGCAGUAUGUAAGAGAAAUUUUCAUGUCAUUCAUGAGAAAAAAAAUGUAAGGAAUUAACAAGUUUUGCACCAUCAUGUCAAGUCCUGAAAAUCUACAACUUCCAACAGGAUUUGGCUCAUUUGUGUUGUUCAUACGUGUAUAGGUGGAUCUGUUUUGAAGACCUGUUUUGUUCACUUCUGUUUUGAAGACUAAGAUGGUAGUGAGGCUACUGAAGCUAUGUAGAUGAAAGGAUUUACACGCUUGCCUGAAUGGUAGACAGUUCCUGAGGGUUUCAAGAGGAAAACUUGCAACAUCAUAUUCCACAGGCUCUCUCCUCCACUUACAUUUGGGUUUCUAUACUCUUUGUGCUGGAAAGGGGCAUUCUUCUCUACAGAUUAAGACAUUGUUAAAAUUUCAGUACUUCAGUAGGAUCCUAUUUUAUUUACAACAGGUGCUGCUGUGAGCUGAGGAACAGUCCACUACUUCUCAAGAUUGUGAAAGAGCUACACUGUACUAAUUCUAUGAUAUUACUCCCAAGUAUGGUUGAUAUAGCUGAACUUCUAUAAAUGCUAUAGUCAUGAGGCAUGUCAGGUAAGAUAGACAACACUUCUGGUUUCCACAUUCAUCUACCUUUGAAUACUUUUGCCCUGCAUGUAGACCACAGAAAUUUCAUGAUGUGAACAACCUUAGGGAAACAUAUGAAAGCCACUGAAGAAUGGUGUAAAUAGGAGAAAAGAGAGACAUAAAUAGGAUUAAAAUGUAGCAGACACCCUGAGAUAAAUUACUGCCUUGUACUUUAGUGUCAUUUUCAUUUUAAAGUAGUCCUUGUGAGGGAAAGCAAGAGUCAUUUUCAAUCUGGCACUUGAAUACUGAAUUAAUGGAGAAAUGGAAAACCUUGCUGUGGCUUCAGCAGAGAUCCAAAUAUUUUUUCCAGAGACCUUUUCUGCUCCACAUUUAAACAACAUUUGUCUUAGAGAUGCUUGAAUCUAUUUAAAGGUAAACUAAGAUCUCAUUUAGCCUUGUGAUAUUUUCAAGAUUCACCAAGAAGCCGUGACAGUAUGAAGAGAUCAAAAUUAUUAUACUCUAGUGAAAAACAGCUUUGGGAAAAAUGAACUGGUAAACUGACAUUAAAGCCAAUGCUUCAAUAAAAUAUACACCACUAGCACUUUGGCCUAUCUACCAUUCUUAAGGUGCUCCUGAUCUCUUAUUUGAAACUCAUGAGAAUGUUGAGGGAGGCUAUGGAAAUACUGAGGGAAUUAUCUGCAUUAAACUGGGAUCUGAUAAAUUAUCUGCAUUACACUGGGAUCUGGUAAAUAAAAGAAAUUACCUUUUCGGGUAAUUUAUGUCCAAGGUUGAAGAAGGCCUCUGAGAUUAUUUAACUCAACUGUUCACCUACCAUCACCAUUUCCCCACUAAACCAUGACUCUUUGUUCAACGUCUAAACAUUUCUUGAACACCUCCAGGGAUGAUGACUCCACUACCUCCCUGGGCAGCCCAUUCCAGCACCUGACCACUCUUUAGAUGACAUUUUUCUUAAUAUCCAAUCUGAAUCUUCCCCGGUGCAACUUGAGGUUGUUCUCUUUAGUUGUAUUGCUACUUAUGUGGGAGAAGAGGCCAACCCCACCUCAUCACAACCUCCUUUCAAGCAGUUGUAAAGAGCAAUAAGGUCUUCCUUGAGCCUCCUCUUCUCCAGUCCAAACAAUCCCAGUUCCCUCAUAAAGUUCAUGAAAGAAUUUGGUAAAUUCAUGGCCAAAUAUCCAUAAACAGAAACUAAAGCAGGAUACUCACACAUAUACCUUCUAGCAUCACCCGCUGAAUUAUUUUGAGUUCUGGGAGACCACCAGUGGAAAUGGUAGGGUUUGCAUAUUCUUCCUAAGUAAUUUUACCUGUGCCAGACAGAAUACUAGGCUAGAUAGGCCAUCCAUCUGAUGCAGUUGGUGUUUCUUACAUUUGUACUCACAUGUAUAUAUGUGCUCUGACACAACUGAAGUGUACCUACAGCGUAUUCUGUUGCAAGGUACAGACAUAUGUGGGUUUUUUUGUUUUGUUUUGUUUUGUUUUUUGUCGUUGUUUUUUUCUAUCAGGUACAUUAUUGAUCUAGAUAAAAAUAUGUUUUUAAGAGAGCUCUGUAUAUAAGUUAAGGAGCGGAAUUAAUGCGCUGACAUUUUACAAAGUGCCAAUACAAGCUGUUGGACUUAACCUGCUGUCUAGGUUAGUCUAAUUUGGCUUGGCUUUAAAGAGGCUGACUAUUCAGAAUAAUCUGGGUUAAGUUGAUUUUUGCACUAAGCAAACUAAAUCCAAACUGCAAAUCAAUCUUUACUUUGUAUAUACAGAGAGUACGCUAUCUGUUCCAAUGUUUGUUACAUGCUGAAUCAUUCCUCAGUGUGAAUUCUAAGACAAAAAUUCAAAUAGAACUUUCUAGUCCCACUCCUAUUGCCAGUGAGGGACUGCACAUGACGGUUAAUUUCUAAGGGUGCAUCUUCAGUAACUUCAGAUCUGCCUCCAUUAGUAAUGGCUUAUUAAUCUUUUCUGUUAAAUUUAUUGGGAAUUUGGGCUAUUCUGUAAUACUUCAAACAAAGCAGUGCUGUCUUAGUAGCAUCUAAGUAGUACCACUGGGAGUUUAGACAGUAACUUUUUCUAUUCCUCUUCUUCUAUCUGUUAAAUGGAGACUGAAAGGCUUACAGAACUUAGUGUUAUUAAUGUUUGUACAGAUCUCAGGUAAAAAUACCAUAAAAAGGCAAGAUCUGGCUUUAAUAAAAGUUCAGGGCUGUGUCUUAUUUUAUUUAUUUCUUUUUGACCUUUGAAGGGGGUGAAAUCUGAACUUUCUACUGUUCCUAAAUGUAAUUCCUGAUGCUUAUGACUUAGAACUUAAAGUCUCCCGUUUUAGCUGUAGUUAUCAUGAAUUAGUGAUGCAAAUACAUUAUAUUUGAUGCCUUUAAAUUGAGUAUUUGACACUUUAAAACCACAUUAACACUACUGGAGCACUAAGGCUACAAUAACUCGAUUUUAAAAGAUUAUUCCUGUGAAAUCCUAUGAUAGUUUGUAAUUCAAGAGCAACACUUUCUACCUUUGCAUUCUUUAUUCUCAUUGUCUCUUUUCUUCAGUCACCAGAAGAAUCAUGUUACAAAAACAAUGUAGUUAGGUAAGAGGUCCUGGAUAUGUAUGUGGGUGUAUGCAAUACCCUGUACACUCUCACAGUUGAACAGUGAUACAGCAGUUCCUAAACUAGGAAGUAUCUUUCUAGAAGACAUAGUCUUGUAAUAAAAUAUGGUGUAUUCUGUGGGCUGAGACUUCAGCAGAUGUAAUUUUUAAUAACUGCAACCAGCUACAUUUUUAGAAUGCUAUGUUGGUUGAAGAUAAGCGGCUAUCUGGCAGUGCAGAAGUUCAGUUCUCAAUCAGGAGUUUGAUAAGGAGAAUGUUUAUGCUUGUCAGAUCUCUUUUAAAAAGUAAUGGAAUGAUUACAGAAGAAACUUGUUUUCUGGGCUGAAAAGAGACUAGCAAAUAAUUUUAACUUCAUAAGACAACUUCAAUAAAGUUAGAUGCAUUACCAUGAUCAUUUUCAAAAGACUGUUUAACAUGACCAUUUAUAUUAUGACUAAAACAGAUUUCAGGAAGGCAAUACCAGAUGUAUAGAUCUCUAAUGGUAAAAUCAUAUUCAACUACAUAAUAUAUAACAGAUAUAUAUUUUUUUAUACAAAGAAAUAAAGUUUGGAAACAAUUCGUGUAAAAUAAUGAGAUAACCAUUUUGUUGAAAGCAAAGUAUGGGUGCUCUAUUUAAAAGAAUGGAUGGUUCUCAUUACGAUGCCUAUUGUAGGAAAACUACAAGGUGAUACUGCCUUCUGAAAGAUUCCUCCACAUAAUGAAUACUGCUCAAACUUCUAGUCAAUCUAUAUGAAAAGUUACUUCUGGAGACUUCACUUGCAUAAAAGUCACUGUAUCUUGCCAUUAGAAUUCGUUGACAAAUGUAUUUAAUUUAUGUUCGGUGUAAUUGAACUACUCCAUCAUUCCUUCCUGUUUGGACAGUUAUGGCCACUUAGGAGUUUUACGUCACUUUUAACCUUGGAUGAUACCGGUUUUUCUUUUUGAUGGUCCAGAACUAAGAAACUAUAAUUUCAUUGUUCACUCAGCAGUUUUUUUUUGGUUUUUUUUUUUGUCCAUUUAUAUUUUUCCCAAUGUUGGAUCAAUAUAAACUCCUUUAAUAAAGAUAAUGGAAAAUCUCCAUGCUCUUAAUUAAUCCUCUCUUUCCUGUUUUAUAAAUAUUUUUAAAUCUUCCUAUCAUUUUUUCCAUGCUGACAUCUUCAUUUUUUUUUUCUCUUACAGUCUGAUAUUUGGACCCUAUCUUUUCAUAACAUUGAUUAUAUAGAUGCAUCAAUAAAACCUCUAUCUAUAUAUCUGCAUAUAAUUCACCUAUAAAGGUUCUAAAAGAGACAUAUUGCCAGUAAACAUUUAGGCUUUUCCAAUUGGCAUCUUAGGAUGUUCUUUGUCUUACAGGUUGAUAGCAUCAUUUUGAGGGAGGCAAAUAUAUAGAGUACUUCAGGCCUGGAAGAACCUCCAGCAUAACACUAGUAAAGCUCAGGGAUUUACUAGUGGUGAUGAGCUGUCAUCAGGUCUUAAAGGUCUUUAUCUUAAAGAUAGAAAAAGUAAUAAGACAGACUGGACCAUAUGCAUGGGAGGAAACGUCAAUGGUAUCAGAUAUAUAUACGAAUAUUUAAAAAUAUGUGGGGUUAUUUCCCAAUUACUAGUUCAAAGGAAAAAAAAAAGGGGCAAGGAAGAUUAAAAUUUUUGUUUGUUUGUUUGUUUUUUAACUAAAGGAAAAUUAAAAAAAUAAAAAUAAAAAGGAAAAGGAAGAGAAAAACCCUGUACAGAGGAAGAAGCUUUUUCAAUCAAAAUAUUUUUUUUAUCUAGUGUUAGGCAGACAGCCUGCAGAAGAUGACUACCCACUAGCAUUCUAACUUCUCUCUUUAGACAUAUAUCCAAGACUGCUCAUUAGCAUUCCCAAGCAUGUACCAAUUUGAAAAUGUCUUCCUUUCAACUCAGCAAUAUGGAAACCCCAAAGUGCACUUUAUUUGCCUAAUACGUUCCUUCAAGAUGUUCAAAAUCAGUUGUGAGUCUUCUGGUUAUAUUCAAGUGAAAUCCACUCAAAGGAAAAAAAUUCUUUUUACUAAAUAAUGAAGGCAGAGAGUGCAAGAAAAUAUGGUGUUCUGGACUGAGCAGUGGCAAGAAACACAUGGUAUUCUCGUAUGAUUAUAUAUGCAGCACUGUCAUCUUAACAGCAAAGUGUUGUGGUUCUUAUCAAAUCUGAUUACAGAAUCACCAACAGAUAAUAUUAUUUUGCUUGCUAAAAGAAAUAUAUUUUAAAAUGCUCAAAUGAUCACUCAGUAAGUUGAUCAGCCAAAUUCACAAUCAACCAAGAAGAGACCGAUGAGUCCAAUAUUAUUCAGAGCACAAAAAUUUUCCUCCACGUUACUUAUUGUAUUGAUAUUGUUUUUAUUUUCAGCUCCACAAGGAGACAAGGAAAACUCCCUCCAUCCUCCACUCAUAAACAUUACCAGUGUACCUAGAUUUGCACCUUGCUUGUUCUGCUGUGCUAUGUUGAGAUGCUAUUUAUUUCAUCUUGCAUUACAUACUUCCCUGGAAUUAGGAGUGAAUGGAUACCUAGUUACCAGCAAGUCAGUGAUUUUCCUUUGAUCGGAGAACACUCCCACUGUUAGUAGGCUGUGAAAGUUAACAAAAUGUAAAGAACUGGAUCAAAAAAAAGGUAAAUACUGGUUAAAAAAAGUAAAUACAAAAAAUACUCUGUAAUAUGAGCAUGUAAGCUGAAAUUGUAAUCAGGUGGGGUGUAAGUUGUGCUUUAUAAGGCACAAUCAAAGCACAUCAGUAGCUAAUUUGCCUUCAUUUAACUGGUUAAUGGCAUUUUUUAUAACACAGAAGAAUUCAUCCCCUUCCAUCUCAGUUUCCUGUAAAACAGAGCAGCAAUAUUUAUAUACCUCCCAGGGCUAUUGCAAGGAUUCACUAAUUAGAUAUAGAUUUGUUUUCAAAUGGGGUGACUCAACCACUGCUCAGUCUCUCCACUCUGCUCCAGCAGGGUCAGAGCUCAGGCAUCCUGCUUCCUUGGGGGCUCUUUUCUGAGCUUUGGUGAAAUGAUAACAAGGGACUUUGAGAGCUUGCUUUCCUGUACUGCAUGCCAUAUUUCAGGAGAAUUACUAGAUUAUUUAGCAAUAGCUUAAUGAUACAGAAUAGGAAGGAACAUUUUUAGAGCUGGCAUCUUAGUUGUCUGUUCAACAUGCACUGUGUGAGUACACACAGUACAAAUCUCCUCAAAGGAUCUACAGAUGAAAGGAGCUUCCUUGUAGCUUUCUCAACUUUCUUUUUUUGGGAGUUCAGGAUGUGGUUUUCAUCCCAACUUGCAUGUCCAUGCUGUCUUCCAGCCUCUCAGAGACUUCUCUCAACUCCUCAUGCGUUCUGCAACAACUCUUCAAGGGUAACGAGUUGCUACGCAGGAGACCCUGUACACCUGUAGAGUGCAAAAACAAGAAAAAGACCUCUGUAUCCUCCAUUGCUUGGAAGAGAGCAGAGGUAAUCUCAGAGGAGAUUUUCUGAGAAGAUAAUUUUAAAUACUUAGACUCAUUCUUUUCCAACAAAUUUAUUCUUAUGCAUCUCAGUUACUCACUGCAGUUUAAUUAAACUCAUGACAAACAUUUCCCAUUUUAGGGAGGGAAAAAAAAAAACAGUUUUCUCCACACACUAGCCAUACGCAAAUCUAUUACUUCUGAAAGGUUGAUACAAGUGGAAAUAGUUCCUACGGUUUCAGAACUGCGCAUUUGUACAGUUGUGAAUCAUUCCUGCCUUUAACACUUGACAGCAUGUAAAGUAGAUGUACUGUAUUUUGCUCAUAUUCACUACAUAUCUGCUUCCUCCUUGACAAUACAAUUUUGGCUCCAUAACAAAUCACUGUUGCAAAUCAUCUUAAGAAUUUUUGUCCCAUAAUUUACCCAAAGCUUUUUGACCUUGCUAACUGCAGUUUUUAGAGCAGAAGUUUAACAUAAAUGUCAGUCUUGCUGAUAUGGCCGUAUUGUUGUCUCCCAAGAAGACAACUGAAUAAGUUUAGACUACAGGAAGUGACAACUUCAUCCAAGUUUCAAGAACCAUCACUAAUUUAUUUUAAUAAUGGAAAGCAAAAUGGCUUGUGACAAUGGCUUUGUACUAUAUAUAUACUAAUUAAGCUCUAACGUCUUUAAUGAAACACUGUCAGGUAUAGGAAGAACUGGAAGCAACGUAUGUUACUAGUGAUUUGGUAUCCAUUACAUUGCUAUUGCUGAGGUUGAUCUUAAAAAAAAAAAAAAGAAGAAAGUAUUGAUACGGUAACAGUGAAGGCAGGUAUGUUUUUCAUUUCAUUGCUGCUGACCUUAGAAAGCAUGCAUCUAGAUGAGCUAUUUCAUUGAAGGUCUGCUUUUGUCUUGCUACAUUCAAUAAGGAAAUUGUUAUUGCCAAUAAGAGCAAGAAAGUGCUAUACUGGUUUUAGAGCACUUGGACUUGAAUGACAAUGGUUGGGGGCUAAAUAUGAACACAGUCCUUCCAGUUCUUUCCUGUACGUCAUUAACAGAAUAAAAUAUUAUGGGGAAGAUAUUUUCCUAAUUUUACAACUCUUGGAGAAAAUAAAGGAUGGCCAAGAAGGCCAAAAGUAAUAACUGGGCUUGUAUCAAAAAUAGUGUGGCCAGCAGGACUAAGGAAGCUGGAAGUGAUUGUCCCGCUGUACUCUGCUCUGAUGAGACCAAACCCGAGAACUGUGUUUAGAUUUGGGCCCCUCACUACAAGGAUAAUGAGUUGCUCAAGCAUGUGCAGAGAAGAGCAACAGAGUUGGUGAAGGGGCUGGAAUACAAGACUGCUUUAUCUGCAGAAGAGGAGGCCAAGAGAAGUACUCCGUUAUGCUAUAUGACAUCAGAGCUGCUAAAGGCCAUCUUUGGCCUUCUCAUGCUAGCUGCAAUACCAGUCUCUGAACGUGAUAAUGGACAGAGAAUCUCUCUGAGAUUUCAGUGUGCUACUUCUGAAGGAUUUAAGGGAUUCUAAAUGAGAUAAACCUGCCAGGGUGUCACUCCCUUUUGGCAGCAAUUUCAUGCAAUCCUAAGCUGUAUCACUUGGUAAGUGAAAGUGAUUCGCAAUGCAUUGAAAUGGAAAUUUUAAAGGAGCUGUUUCUGAAUUUAAUGCUCAUGAGAACAAAUGACCUUCAGUGAGACAUGAUGCAAACAGGAGCAAGACUGAGAAAACUGUCCCAGUAGUUCUAGUUAUCCUCCUUCUCUAUGAGGAACAAACUCCUGUAUAGUUACCCAUAAGUUUCUCCUGAAUAAAUCCAGACUGUCUGCAUUUUCCCAGGCUACAGAAAACAGGAUUCUAUCCAAUCUUUGUGUACAGUCUCUUUAAUCAGUUUAAACCUAUUUUUUUCCUGUUAGAUUUGCGUCAGUGAAAUCGGAGGUACUGAGUUAACUGAAUUGAUUUUAAAACAGAUUCCAGUUAAACCAUGUAAUUUAUGACUUUAGAAAAGGCCUACUUGGUUCUACACGUAAAGGCAGGCAUAGUAAGCAUAUGUCAUUAACAUGCAACUCUUUUUGUAGGCAUAUUACAGGCACUUCAAAUGCCUAACCUGAAGGUGCAAACUGUCACUUUGUUCUAUUUUGGCUAACUUUCCAGAGACAGAGUUGUAGAACCAACUGUAUAAUUUCUGAAGUUCGCUUCACCAUUCACAGUACUUUUUGGUAGAUUAAUGGUGCUUGCCUGAGUGCUUUCCCUCUGUCAUACAGAAGUGCUGUUUCGUGUCUGAGGUCCUGAAAAAAUGCAAGCAUGCUCUGUGGCUGAUCUAGACACAAUCACUCAGAUGCUCACAAGGAAAUAAGAGGUCAUAAAGGUUCAGUAUUUCAGACUUUUCCUUGAAGAUCAGAGUGUACCUUUAUCUGGAAUUAUGCAGUGUCUGUAUGUAGCUCUUUUCUUAGGAUUUGCUGCUACACUAAGCAUGGAAAAAUACAACUCCUGAGUAAAAUAAAUGGUGACAACAUAUAAUUUUCUUCUUUGUGGCCCUUGCUAUAAUUUCCUGCCUUUCAAGCAACAAAAAAGUCAUUUUGAUAAAACCUUUUCCAUUAGUCUUGUCAGUAUCCUGUUACUUGUGUGCAAUAGUUGUAUGACUAAACACCCUAAUUGUUUGGAGAGGUACAGUUCACAGGUGUUUCAUACAUAAAGUAAAUAUUUCUCAAGACCACAUUUUGGAAAUAAUUCACUGAAGCACUUAACUUUUAGUAGUCAAAAAGAAUAUCCUUGCUGAAAAGGUACUCAGUGCUUAAUCCAAGAAUUACUGAAGACUUGGAUUCCCAUUGGCGGAUGAAGGUCUGUUGUUUGUUUUGUUUUCUAAUUAACUACACCAAUAAGGAUAAAUGUGUAGCUUUGUUUCUCACAUUACUGUUUCUAUAGUACCACACACUUCUCAGGGUUAAUAAUGAUUUCAGGACAGGCUAUUUCAGUCACAAAGCUGAAAGAAGUGGAGAAUGAACACCUUGAGGCAGAUGAGCUACAUUGUCAGCUGCACUGCCCAAUGGUAGCCAGCUUCAGAGACUGAGAACAGGAGCAAUAGUAUGGGGACAAGGAGCAGGGAGGAGGCAUUCUUUUUACCCAUCAAACCUCCUCAGAGAUCAAGUGAUACCGGGAGAGGAUCUCCAGACAUUAGUUUGGGACCUACCUGGAAUCUUAGUCCUUUCUUCCCUCCUUCAUUUUACGUUAAAAAUAAAAAUAACAAUAAAAUGAAUGAAUAAAUAAAUAAAUAGAACUAAGCUUUCUGUAUCCUUCAGGAGCUGUCAUGCUUUGAUUACUUUCACCAUGUAGUCUGCACUUCUCCUCGGCCCCUGUUUCUGUGCUAUCUCUGAUGCUUUCAGCCAGCAAACUGUUACUGCUGGUUUUCAGUAGUCUCCCCGUGGCAUUUCUUCUCCUUGCCCUAGCAGAGGUACCAGGUUCAAAUUUUUAUAGUCUUCACUGAGGAGCAUCCUGCUCCUUGACCUACUAAGUUGCAUAAGACAGAUGACUUAUUACUCCAUGGAAACUGUUCAUCAUUCCAUCUUAUCCUUCCUCUGGCAUCUUCCUUGGUCUUAGCAUCUCCAUCUUCCCUUAUGUUUCUCAAACCACUUGAUAUCAUUUAACCACACUUGCCAUUCCUAAUAGGUUGCUAUACAGCAUCAUAUCUCCGUGAUAUAAAAGUGGGACACUGCAGUGUCCAAUAAAGAUUCAUUGGAGUAAAUGAUCCUUCCUGAGCUAAUAUUCCUUUGUUGUUGAGAGAAGCAGAUGAGCCCUAUUGCUUCCUUAAAACAGCAGGAUAGGAGACUUCAGCCUAAAGAAAAUGGACUGAUAGAAGGAAAUUGGUCUGAUAUACUCUUGUUAGUGAUAGGCCGUCUUGCUUUCAGGAUGCCUGCAAUAACAAAACAGCCUCACAGUUUGGCAGCAUGCACAACAAAUGACUCUAAAGCCAGAAAAGCAAUCCUUUUCAGUUUAAAUAUAACAAUACUCAAAUACUCAAGAAAAAAUGUCAUGUAGUUUCCCCAUUAUUUUUGGUCAAUUUUAAAAAUAAUUACAAGCAUACUCACUAAUUUUGCCCCUUGAAAUAAGAGCCUUUUUUCUUCUUGAAAUUCCAAUGGCUCUCAAAACAAGUAAUCUUGUUUUCCUUGUUGUUUACUGUAACCCAUGUGAUUCUAGUGUUCUGCAGAUUAAUCUUCUUCCUAGACUCCUAUUCUAGCUCUAGCAUGGAAGGGUACAAAAAUAUUUAAUUUUGUGCUGCUGCUACAUGAAGAUUAGCUAACUUUGGCACCUCCAUAAUUGUCAGUGGAGGAUGUUAAUUUGCAGCCCCAAAGGCAUUUCCCAGAGCAUGUAGGUUCUUUUCAAAAUAUGGCUGGGACUUCAAUACAUUGAGAACAUACCUUCAAGGCAGAAUACCACAGUAGAUAUUCCUCCGUAAAGUCCAUAUCCAAUUAAAGAGCAUUAGCUAUUACAUAUAGCUACGCAGGAAAUACAUAUAGCCACUGUUGCUUUUAAUAACAAAGCACAUCAUGUGACCAUAGAGACACAUUUGAGGGGCAGGAAAGGAAGCUCCAGCCUUCGAAGCAACAAGGCAGAUAAACUGCCCUACAUGAUGUUCAUUUAUUUGAACUCUGAAAAGAAACAGAAAUGAAACUGAAAAUUGUUAAAUGCAAAAACAGUCAACAGCAAGAUAAUGACACAAGUCAGUGAGGAAAGACUGAGUUUUGUAAACUGCCCAGCCCCCAUGCUGAGACUUAAAUUUGUAAUUUUCUAACAUAGAGAUUAGACAACAGGUGGAAUCCAACAAGCUUGAUUCACACUAAAGCAGUGUUGAUAAAAAAAACACUACAUAAUUAAGUUUAUGGUAUAAACAUCCAGAAUUUCUGCAUGAAUCUCCCCAUGGAUUCUACCAUAAAAAAAAUUAUGACUGCAGAUAAAGUGCUCUGUCCCAGCCAUAAUCAGUCCUUUAAAAAAAAAAAAAAAAAAAAAAAUCCCUCCCUUCUAAUAUCCCAAUUUGAAAAUGCUGUGAUCUAUAUCAAAUUGAGAACAGAGGCGGUAAUUCUCAAAGUUCAUUUACAGGGUUCUCACUUCAGUAGUCUUGCUGGAACAAUAAAAUAGUUUGAAUGCAAGCUUAUUUGUUAAAGUCUAUCCUGCUUCACUUCCUCAUGAUAUUUUUGAUUGCUAUUAGCUCUCUCCCUAAAAUAUGCGUGAAUGUUCUGGUUAGAAAUCACCAAGAAAGAAGCUCAUGAUCAGCAGCUAGACAUUUUGAGACCAAUAAUUUUUUGUGUUUUUUUUUUUCCCCAAAUUAGUUACUUUAUUGCAUUAAAGGCUAUAAAUAAAUGAGCCUGCAUUUGUUAGAUAGAUUAUAAAUGAGAUGAAACUACAGCUGUGCCUUUCUCUUCAGUAGCAAGACAGAUCCUUCAGCCCCAAAUACUCUGAUUUCCACCCCUGAAGACUCUCUCAAACUGACAACAUUCACAACAGGCAUAAUACAUUAUACCAGCAAGCUCCAGGUGGCAGCCAGAGUGUUGGAUUCAGUAUCAGUGCAGAGAUUACCACCUCUUGUUUUGGUUCAUUUCUCCCUGGAACAAAGGCAAGCUUAAAAUUCAUAGAAUAAUCAGUCAGAUAAACCUUUGGAAAGCAACAUUAAGGAACAUAAUUGCUGAUCAAAUUUUCUUCCCAAUGUAAAAUUAAUCCUGUGGAAACCUAGAAAUUUAGCAAAACCUAACCCCAAAAGAUUAAAAGUGAUUAUUCUUUUGUAUUGACCUAAGAUUGAGCUAAAUUUAAAACCUGCAGCACUAAGCAUUGCUGUUGCUUCAUUUGGAAGAGUUUGCUUCUUGUUUAUGAUUCACAUGGGAAUUACUAUUUUUUAUUGGCUGCGUACUAUGUGUGAGUGAGAGCUUUGAAAUACAUUAAUAAGCUAUUUUCUUCUGGCAGACCCUGAAAGUUUAUAAGUAGGGAUCAUACCAGGACUCUGAAUUUUAAUCCAGUUUGCAUUUAUAAAAAUAGCAGUACUUUAUCUCAUAUGAGGCUUUGCUUUAUUAUACUGCUGAUAGAGAUUAUGCUGUUUAGAGGAGUGUUUAAGGAGAACCAUUCAGUGCAAUGAGAAAGAAAUGUGUUUUUCUCUGAAUUGAGAGGAUGAACAACUUGAAGGCAGAAGAAUAUAGCCAAAAAGGAAAGGAACUGAGAGUGACUAAGGCAAUUAUGAAUAUUCACACCCCAACGGGACUGCUAGACCAACAGUAUCUUUAUAUUUCAUUAUUUUUGUAUUAUUGUAGCAUUUAUUGUUAAAGGAACUAGCUUCUCUCAUAAAGCGUGCAAGAGAUUACUUCACCUGAGACUGAAAGGACAGGCCAACUGAAGUUAUUGUCUACCUGAUGAUUCUUAAUGAAGGAGAAAGCUGUACUACUAAGGCUAAAAAUUUGAUAAAAUUUAAUUUUGAUAGCAGAGCUGACGAUGGUGAUUAAUAUUGAAGGAAUCUAAGAUUACAAAUUAAUGAAAAAUAAAUACUUACAGCUGACACUCAUAUACCAAUUAUACAGCAUGCAUGCUAUAGAGGACGUGAUACAUAAUUAAGCCAACAAAUAUCUUUUGUUCAAUUACAUUCAAAACUAUAAAGCUUCCUGGUCACUUUUCCUUAUAAAUGAAAGGGUCUCAGGAGGCAGAUAUCAGCCUUGAAUACAUGAAAAUCUUGAGGCAUCUCUCCAAAAGAGAGUUGCCUCUCCAUUUUCUGCCAGUAGAAUUUUAGAAUUACAUCAUAUUCUCUAAGGGAGACAAAAAACAGAAAAGAGGACACUUUCAUUGACCCAAUGUUAUUUGCAUGUUUUCACAAUCUGCUUUCUAUUAUGUGGUCUUUUAUUGUCAUUGACAUUCAUGAAGUUAUUGACAAAGCAAUAAACUUAGAACACCUUAUAGCUAAUGAAACACUAAGAUAAAGUAGAUCAGUCCCUGGAAGACCACCAAGAUGGUUAGAGGUCUGGAGCAUAUGAUGUGCAAGGAGAGGCCGAGAAAGCAAGAUCUAUUCAGCGUGGAGAAGAGAAAGCUAUGGUGAGACUCUAGGUAGGAAGACUGUCUAGUGAGAGGGUGUAGAUGAUAGAGACAGCAUUUUUUUGGAGAUGAAAGGGACAGAAGGAAUGAAUGCAGAUUGCAGCAAGGGAGAUUGUGUUUAGAUAUAAGGAAAAACAUUAUUCACGCUGAGAGCACUCAAACAGUAAGAGAUAUUACUCAGAGAAGUUUUAGAAUCCACAUCGGACAUAUCCAAACUCAACUGAGAUGAGGUCCAGUAAUUUUACUUUAAAGUUGGCCUUAGAGAAGGCAACCUCCAGAAGUCCUUCCCACCCUCUUCUAUUUUAUAAUUCUGUGAUUCCUUGAGUUACUGAAGGGUUAAAAUUUGAGAAAAGUAUUGCAUGCUGAGAUAUUCAACAACAUUGGCAUACAUGGUUCAUAAUUGCAUAAUGGUUAAUCUUCAAACCCUAUCUCCAGCUUCUAAAGCUUGUUGACUUUGUUAUAUUCGUUUCUAUUUUUUAUGUGAUGGAAAGAAAACACUUUUCUUGUGGAAACAGAUUUGAACAUACAGCAAGAAGUUGGUAAAUAUGGAAUCAUUUAUAGACAAGUAAUAAACUGCAAUUAAUUUCAGCUGUAGACGCACAGAUUUUAGGAAUGGAGGUAGAAAAACAGAGAUGUAUUGAAGUGAAAUUGAUAAUUACAGUUUCUAACAACAACAAAAAAAUGAAGCUUUUGACAGCAGAAAUACACAGCUGAGAAAAGAUAGCAUAAAAUGCUACUGGAAAUGUUAUUUUUCCUAAUAGAUCUCUUAAACUAUAAUGCUUCAUUAUUCUCUUGCAAUUUACCUGUGGCUUCCAAAAAAUAAUUACUCAGAUAAAAUAAUGCACUGCAGUCAUGCUUUUACCAAAGCUGUUCAAUAAAUUAAGCUGCCUCUUAACUCGAGUAAAUGAUAAAUAUGUACGUCUGCCAGGAAAUCUAGUCCAAAAGCAGAAAAGAAUCAUCAAACACCAACUAUUAUUGGUGGUGUGGUUUCCUGGGUAAUGUGAUAUAGAACUGCAGAAGUCAAACUGAAGUAUUUGGGUCAACAAAAUGACUGAAAAUGAAACGCUCUUGUAUAGGAGCACCAAAAUAUUUUAUUUCAGCUCUAUAUAUUUUUCAGCUUUUUUCAAUUAUUGGGCAUUUGGUCUUAGUCUAAGAUACAUCCAUAAGCUCUACAUAGUAAAAUUCAGUCUGUUAGGAUGUAACAGAAGCAGUACAUUCUGAUGAUCGGCACUCAGUUGCACAAACAAUGACAAUUCAGGAUCCCAAUUCAGAACAAUGAGUCUCCUAUUCUGAAACAAUUUAAGUAUCUUCUUCAGCUACAAGAACAUUGCUUGCUACAAAAUUCAAACCUCUAUUCUAAAAUAAGAAUAUUUUUAGAUUGUGGGGCUUUUUUUUUUUUUUUUUUUUUCCGAAGGUAGCAUAAAGAUGAGUCCAUUUCUAUGAAAAUGGUCUUGUUAUUAUUUAAUCAGGCCAGCAUCUGAAUGAUUUGUUGAUUUGUGAACUGCAGGUUGGAAUUCAAUAAGUAGUUCAAGAAUCUCUGAGUUGAGAAAAUCUGAAGGAAAGAAAAAAAGAAUGUCCUUCCACAAAGGAGUUGGCAAACAGUAUGUCAGUGAUGAAUGCUACCUAAUGCAUUUACAGCAGUUAAAAGAUACUCUGUUCCAUAGCUUAUUCACUGUUCACUUAUAGAAAUAAUGAGCAUCAGUGAUGCUAAGCACUGUAUAAAUCCAUAGCAAAAAGAUAACCAGUGGCUUAGAGAAAUUAACUGCACAAAGCAGUUGCAAAGGGAGUUAAUUGAAAUUUGGGAGUACUGUGAACAAGCCAGAAAUUUUCUUCCACAAAGGGAUAGGGAUCAAUACAGUGGAAUAAAGCUGCCUCAUGCUUCCAGCAGCCUUUAUAUUCACACUUCACUCAUACUUUGUCAUCAUUAAAUUCUUCACCAUAAGGACAGGAAAAGUGUUCUUUGUUGUUUUCCUUGUGUUGGUAUGCAUGUGUAUACAUAAGCGCACUUGUGUGUGCCUUAUGGGUAUACACACAGCACUGAAGUCUCCACAUUCACCUUAAAAGUAUCUUGUAGUCACAAUUCUAAGCAAAAGGCUAUUUUUCUAAUGUUUCCACAGGGUGAUCUUAGUCAGACUAUUAAACAGUUGUAAUUAGCUGGAGCUUAAAAUAAGCAAAUGGAGGAAGAAAAUAUGCACUGCAACUUAGUUCAACAUGCAAAAUGAGCCCAGAAAGCUGCAGCAUCUUGAUGUUUAAAUGAGUGAUACUGAUUUUUUAUGGAACAAAAAUACCUUCCCUCACUGCCUGUUAUUGCCUAUAUUCCCACCCAGCCAGGAUAAAUGGAAAAGGAAGAUGGAUGAAGAAGAUAGGUGAAUAGAAUCCUGCUGGAACAAAUGGUGCUGCUCAAAUUCUUCUCUGCCUCUUCACUAGAUACAUGUAUGGCUUUUUUAAAUAAAAAAAUUAUAUUCUGAGAGGUUCUGAUUGCUUAACUCUUAAGUUGCAUCAUUUUUUUAUACCUGCUUUCAUAUACCUUUCUUAUAUCAAAUGUAAAUGUGAUUCCAUCACUUCAUAAGGCACAGAGAGUUCUUAGUGAUUCUUUACCGAGAUGAAAAAAUAUAUAAAAGCCAAAACAUUUUCUAUAUUAUUAUUAUAGCCUCAGUAACACUGUCUUGCUAGACAGAAUUUCAAGAAAAAUGAGUUUUUUCCAGAUCAUUCUAUAACUAUUCUUGCUGCACAGGCUUGUGAAACUUCGGAACAUAUGUGUUUUGCUGAAUAAGGGUGCUUACAGUACUGCUAGUGCUUGUGUGAUCCUAAAAGGUGGUGACAGAGUGUUGUUAGUGAAUAAAAAAUAGAUAGGAUAAAAGAGGCUAAGUAGCAGGGGCUUUGAAUAAAAUGAAAAUAUAUAUAUCACAUGGAAAAUCACUGGGCUACCUUCAGCUUUUACUUUCUUUAGCAUAAAAUCAUGUUGACUAAUGACAGAAGCCAGCUAACGCUCACUGAAUAGUUGUGUUUUUACAGAUGAUGGAGAUGUUCCAAUAUGAUCUUUCUCACUUUGUAGAAUUUUUGGGUAGCCUUAUUGGUCAUCAUUAUAUUUAAAUGCUAUAGCUACUAAUAAUUACAGGCACUCCCAAGGGCAUCCAAUACUUCAUCUGGGAAGAGUCCAACGUGCAUAUCAUUGAAACCGCUUCUGAAUGGUUUCAGACUGUCUGUACUGUGAGUUUCAGCUGACUCUUUGAGGCAAGGUAUAAACUCAGCUGCUCAUCGAGCAAGUAAGAAAGGAUUUUUCCCAUGUCUCCACUGAAUGAAGGGCUGGCAGAAGACAAGUAUAGAAAACAGUCUGCAGCCAUAAUUAUGGGGAAUAUAAAUCUAAAUCAACAUAUUUCAGGAAUCUUCUGCUGUGGAACAGAGAGAAUAAACCAGAUGGGGAAUGAAGGUGGGAAAAUUCAGGGAUACCAUGGCAAUGGCCCAUCCAGAAAGGCCCAGGUAAUAUCAAGGCUCAUACAUGGCUUCAUAGGUAUGAAGGUAAGAGUAAAUAAUAACUAAUGUACAGUGAAAUGUGAAGAACUUGAAAGAGUUUUUGUACUACCAAGCAUUUUCUUACUGCUGAAAGUGAAGUUCAGACUUCUUCAUUGAAGGACUGAGAAGUGCACUUAGAGGCUUUUAUAGAACCAUUUUAGAGCAGAGGAGCCUGGCAUACUCUGUGCCAGUAUGACUGUGUCACAGCCCCAUUGACAAGUCAGUGAAGAGAAGCUGCUCUGAAAGAAACCUCUAGCAGAGAACAGUUCAACAGGAACACAGUUUUGCUGAGUUGUCAAAGUUAUAUAUAUAUAAGAGUUUUAUAUAUAUAUAUAAACACACAAAGUUUAUAUAUAUAUACAUAUAUAUUAUAUAUAUAUAUACAUUCUGUAUUUUUACCUCCUAAUUUCUAAUAUGAAGGUAAUAAAUAGAACCAGUUAGGCUGCUCUUUAUGUUCAGCCUUCUUUAGUAGCAUAGGAACAAUAAGCUUGAAAGAUUCUCAUUAAAGUGAGCUCUCCGGUAAAGACAUUUAUUUCUUCUGGUGGAACUGUGAUGCUCUUCUACAGAUCCACUGAAUUCAUUGGUUUGACUGAAAGACUGGGAUCUAAAUUUUUUAAAAUCCAGGUAAAUAGAAAGGUUGUAUGACAGAAAAAAGACAGCUUAACAAUUCAUUUCAGUAGUGCCUAUUUAUUAGGAAUAUGACCACCAUGGUAGAAAGCAGCAAAUUGGAAAGAUUAGAAGACAUUCAAGAGAUGAGAAUCUCCACCUGAGCUCUGUCAGCUGAGAGACCAUGAAAUAAUAGGGGAAACAGGAUGUGUGCACAAGCAGUGCUGUUCAGAACCUUGAAGUGAUGAUGGAACACAUACCAAUCACUUACAUGAAGAGCUAUAACCUAUUUUCCUUAUCAUAUUCACACACAUAAAAAAGUGGAAACUUCAUAUUUCUUUCAAUCUCCAAGUCCAACCUUAUUAUACAGGGACUGUCACACUGAAUAAAUCAGAACUGUUUAAAACCCCGUAGGCUGUUCACACAACUCAUAGCCACCUGUUCUUGUGUCUGGUGCCUUUCUGUGACUUGCUGUAAACACAGCCUUACUGAGGUCAGCAGCUGCAAGACUUGGUGGAAUGGCUGCCCUCAUUUACGUUCAGCCACAGUCAGAUUAUAUUACUGCUCACACAGUGGCCUUGGAGGCCCUCAAUGAAUAAAUGUUCUCUGCAGAAAGCAGCUCUACAUUCUGGGACAUGGCAUUU
ensembl:lncRNA